GAGGAGGCCACGUGACCGGGGAGACAGCGACAGGGGAGGCGUGUCAGGAGCGCGUGCUGCCGCCACCAGACGCGUAGAGAGCAGGGACGGCUUCCCCUGGAGCUGCCGCGGGGCAGGGUCCUGGGACCCCGGGACUUCAGACUCAGAGCUGUGACAGGAGACAUGUCUGCCGUUUGAAGCUACCAAGUGUGCAGCAAUGUGUGAUGGCACCAGGAAGACACUAACAGAGUAACUUUUUGUAUAUUUAAAUGGAAAUGGGGGUCUAUCACCAACUAUCGAAGAACAAGAGAACUCUAGAAAUGUAAAAUUAUGGCCCAGUCUCCAGUGCUGCAGCGCCAUAGAAGACAGUAAAUAAAUAAGAGCCAGUCCGAAAAUACCGAGGAAUUCGAAUUGACUGGAAGAAUCAGAGCCGUGCUUUAGCUAAAACUGGAGGAAGCUGGGGAAAACAACAUACACCAAGUCAAGAACAAGCUCACUUUACAAAACAAACAAAAGAAAGGCAAAGGCGAACAGGAGAGGGGAAAAGUGGAGAGACGCAAGAAAACUGAAAAAUGGGGAAUAACGAUUUGAACACAUCUGGUUCUGAAUCAAACCAAAUUCUUACCCACAGAUCUGCCACUUUCAAAAGACUCUCCUUGAAGAUGGCUGAAUCAUCUCUUCCACUCUCAUAGCUCAGCUUGGACCUAAUGCAGGAAGGAAAAAAGUAAAAGAGCAAAGAGAGGGAGACAAUCCUCUUUCCUAUGUCCUGGAUAAAGGAGACUCAGAGAACCACCUUCCUUCUGCUCCUGGAAGAAGUAUUGUCCCUACAAGGAGCCCAAGGCGAGGAGGGCAGAUGAGGCCCCGAGACAGUGGCGACUCCAGAGGCUGCCCCACUCUUUGGUUCCCGGUCACUUCCAUCAGACCUCUGCUCUACGAUCACUCCUCUUCCUCCGCCUCUGGCCCUCCUGCCUCUCUCCUGUCUCCCUCUUGCCUCUAGGCCUGGGCUGCCAUUUCCUCCCUGCCACCAUGUGAGCCAGCUUGGGCUGGGCUGCUGGAGGAUUGGACCCUGUGUGGAGUGGAGCUUCUAGAAGGAACUUCUGCGCAAAAUACUGUCAUGGGUUGACGCAUCUCUGAGGGACUUCUCUGGUGGGCUAGUGAUGAAGAACCCAUCUUCCAGUGGAAGGCAUGUGGGUUUGGGAUGUGAGAUUCCACGUGUCACAGAGCAACUAGGCCUGCGUGCUGCAACCACUGAGCCUAUGGAUUCUCUAGCUGCAGCCAGAGAAGGCUCCAUGAUCUGCAGCUAGAGAAAAGCCCUAUACCACAACAAAGACCCAGCAUGGGCAAAAAAAAAAAAAAAAAAAAGCAUGUUACAGAACUAACUUCUAUUCAAAACACUGCCAUGUGU
ensembl:lncRNA